CCUACGGGAGGCAGCAGUGGGGAAUCUUGCGCAAUGGGCGAAAGCCUGACGCAGCAACGCCGCGUGCGGGAUGACGGCCUUCGGGUUGUAAACCGCUUUCAGCAGGGACGAAAAUGACGGUACCUGCAGAAGAAGCCCCGGCUAACUACGUGCCAGCAGCCGCGGUAAUACGUAGGGGGCAAGCGUUGUCCGGAUUUAUUGGGCGUAAAGAGCUCGUAGGCGGUUCCGUAAGUCGUGAAGUCAAAUCUCUGGGCUCAACCCCAGAAUCGCUUCCGAUACUGCGGUGACUGGAGUCCGGUAGGGGAGUGUGGAAUUCCUGGUGUAGCGGUGAAAUGCGCAGAUAUCAGGAGGAACACCAACAGCGAAGGCAGCACUCUGGGCCGGUACUGACGCUGAGGAGCGAAAGCGUGGGGAGCGAACAGGAUUAGAUACCCUGGUAGUCCACGCCGUAAACGUUGGGCACUAGGUGUGGGGAGGAAUCAACCCUUUCCGCGCCGUAGCUAACGCAUUAAGUGCCCCGCCUGGGGAGGUACGGCGCGAGACGAACUACAAGAGUAGUAGCGCGNGAGACGCGACGACGACGACGACGAGGAGAG
rnacentral:rRNA from 1 species